rnacentral:misc_RNA from 1 species
GAACGCACCUUGCACCCUUUGGCAUUCCGAAGGGUAUGCUCGUUUGAGUGUCAUUGUACUCUCACUCUCCCGAUACUUUUGGAUCGGGAGUGGUGGACUUGGGUGCUGCUGCUUAACUGUGGCUCGCCUCAAAUGGAGUAGUGCAACUCUCGGUUGGACAUAGUACGGCGUGAUAAGUGUCUUCGCCGGCGCCUCUACUCGUUAGAGGGUGGCCGAUCGGGAGCUCUGUGCUUCAAACCGUCUUCGGACAAUCUCUGACAACUUGACCUCAAAUCGAGUAGGACUACCCGCUGAACUUAAG